AGUUUGAUCCUGGCUCAUAGUGAACGCUGGCGGCCUGCUUAACACGUGCAAGUCGAACGAGGACGGGUCUAGCUUGCUAUACUGUCACCUAAGUGGCGGACGGGUGAGUAAUGUAUGGAUAAUUUGCCCCUUAAAGAGGGAUAACUCCUGGAAACUACUGCUAUUACCUCCUACUCCUUCUACCUUAAUGGCCUUUGGGAAAGGUUUUUUCUCUAAUGGAUGAGACUUUCUGGUAUCCGGUACUUGGUGGGGUAAGAGCCUACCAAGCCUAUGACGCCUAGCUGGUCUGAGAGGAUGAUCAGCCACACUGGAACUGACACACGGUCCAUACUCCUACCUGAGGCCCCUUUGGGGAAUAUUGCUCAAUGGAAGAAACUCUGAUGCCGCAACGCCGCGUGGACGAUGACGCAUUUCGGUGUGUAAACUCCUUUUAUAUGGGAAGAUAAUGACGGUACCAUAUGAAUUUCUUCCGGCUAACUCCGUGCCACCACCCGCGGUAAUACGGAGGGUGCAAGCGGUUACUCGGAAUCACUGGGCGUAAAGCGCGCGCAAUGCGGCUAUCUGCUUGGAUGUGAAAGCCUACGGCUCAACCCUAGAACUGCAUCCGAAACUAUUUCCUCUCAGAGUGCGAGAGGAUCGAUAGGAAUUAGUUAUGCAUGGCCUCAAUACCAAAGAGAUAGCUACGAAUGCCCAAUACCUAACCGCACUCAUCUGGAACACAACUGACGCUGAUGCUCGAAAGCGUGGGGAACAAACAGGAUUAUAUACCCUGCUAG
rnacentral:rRNA from 1 species